rnacentral:rRNA from 1 species
GGUUAAGCGACUAAGCGUACACGGUGGAUGCCCUGGCAGUCAGAGGCGAUGAAGGACGUGCUAAUCUGCGAUAAGCGUCGGUAAGGUGAUAUGAACCGUUAUAACCGGCGAUUUCCGAAUGGGGAAACCCAGUGUGUUUCGACACACUAUCAUUAACUGAAUCCAUAGGUUAAUGAGGCGAACCGGGGAACUGAAACAUCUAAGUACCCCGAGGAAAAGAAAUCAACCGAGAUUCCCCAGUAGCGGCGAGCGAACGGGGAGGAGCCCAGAGCCUGAAUCAGUGUGUGUGUUAGUGGAAGCGUCUGGAAAGGCGCGCGAUACAGGGUGACAGCCCCGUACACAAAAAUGCACAUACUGUGAGCUCGAUGAGUAGGGCGGGACACGUGGUAUCCUGUCUGAAUAUGGGGGACCAUCCUCCAAGGCUAAAUACUCCUGACUGACCGAUAGUGAACCAGUACCGUGAGGGAAAGGCGAAAAGAACCCCGGCGAGGGAGUGAAAAAGAACCUGAAACCGUGUACGUACAAGCAGUGGGAGCACGCUUAGGGUGUGACUGCGUACCUUUUGUAUAAUGGGUCAGCGACUUAUAUUCUGUAGCAAGGUUAACCGAAUAGGGGAGCCGAAGGGAAACCGAGUCUUAACUGGGCGUUAAGUUGCAGGGUAUAGACCCGAAACCCGGUGAUCUAGCCAUGGGCAGGUUGAAGGUUGGGUAACACUAACUGGAGGACCGAACCGACUAAUGUUGAAAAAUUAGCGGAUGACUUGUGGCUGGGGGUGAAAGGCCAAUCAAACCGGGAGAUAGCUGGUUCUCCCCGAAAGCUAUUUAGGUAGCGCCUCGUGAAUUCAUCUCCGGGGGUAGAGCACUGUUUCGGCAAGGGGGUCAUCCCGACUUACCAACCCGAUGCAAACUGCGAAUACCGGAGAAUGUUAUCACGGGAGACACACGGCGGGUGCUAACGUCCGUCGUGAAGAGGGAAACAACCCAGACCGCCAGCUAAGGUCCCAAAGUCAUGGUUAAGUGGGAAACGAUGUGGGAAGGCCCAGACAGCCAGGAUGUUGGCUUAGAAGCAGCCAUCAUUUAAAGAAAGCGUAAUAGCUCACUGGUCGAGUCGGCCUGCGCGGAAGAUGUAACGGGGCUAAACCAUGCACCGAAGCUGCGGCAGCGACGCUUAGCUCACUGGUCGAGUCGGCCUGCGCGGAAGAUGUAACGGGGCUAAACCAUGCACCGAAGCUGCGGCAGCGAGGCUAUGCGUUGUUGGGUAGGGGAGCGUUCUGUAAGCCUGCGAAGGUGUGCUGUGAGGCAUGCUGGAGGUAUCAGAAGUGCGAAUGCUGACAUAAGUAACGAUAAAGCGGGUGAAAAGCCCGCUCGCCGGAAGACCAAGGGUUCCUGUCCAACGUUAAUCGGGGCAGGGUGAGUCGACCCCUAAGGCGAGGCCGAAAGGCGUAGUCGAUGGGAAACAGGUUAAUAUUCCUGUACUUGGUGUUACUGCGAAGGGGGGACGGAGAAGGCUAUGUUGGCCGGGCGACGGUUGUCCCGGUUUAAGCGUGUAGGCUGGUUUUCCAGGCAAAUCCGGAAAAUCAAGGCUGAGGCGUGAUGACGAGGCACUACGGUGCUGAAGCAACAAAUGCCCUGCUUCCAGGAAAAGCCUCUAAGCAUCAGGUAACAUCAAAUCGUACCCCAAACCGACACAGGUGGUCAGGUAGAGAAUACCAAGGCGCUUGAGAGAACUCGGGUGAAGGAACUAGGCAAAAUGGUGCCGUAACUUCGGGAGAAGGCACGCUGAUAUGUAGGUGAAGUCCCUCGCGGAUGGAGCUGAAAUCAGUCGAAGAUACCAGCUGGCUGCAACUGUUUAUUAAAAACACAGCACUGUGCAAACACGAAAGUGGACGUAUACGGUGUGACGCCUGCCCGGUGCCGGAAGGUUAAUUGAUGGGGUUAGCGCAAGCGAAGCUCUUGAUCGAAGCCCCGGUAAACGGCGGCCGUAACUAUAACGGUCCUAAGGUAGCGAAAUUCCUUGUCGGGUAAGUUCCGACCUGCACGAAUGGCGUAAUGAUGGCCAGGCUGUCUCCACCCGAGACUCAGUGAAAUUGAACUCGCUGUGAAGAUGCAGUGUACCCGCGGCAAGACGGAAAGACCCCGUGAACCUUUACUAUAGCUUGACACUGAACAUUGAGCCUUGAUGUGUAGGAUAGGUGGGAGGCUUUGAAGUGUGGACGCCAGUCUGCAUGGAGCCGACCUUGAAAUACCACCCUUUAAUGUUUGAUGUUCUAACGUGGACCCGUAAUCCGGGUUGCGGACAGUGUCUGGUGGGUAGUUUGACUGGGGCGGUCUCCUCCUAAAGAGUAACGGAGGAGCACGAAGGUUGGCUAAUCCUGGUCGGACAUCAGGAGGUUAGUGCAAUGGCAUAAGCCAGCUUGACUGCGAGCGUGACGGCGCGAGCAGGUGCGAAAGCAGGUCAUAGUGAUCCGGUGGUUCUGAAUGGAAGGGCCAUCGCUCAACGGAUAAAAGGUACUCCGGGGAUAACAGGCUGAUACCGCCCAAGAGUUCAUAUCGACGGCGGUGUUUGGCACCUCGAUGUCGGCUCAUCACAUCCUGGGGCUGAAGUAGGUCCCAAGGGUAUGGCUGUUCGCCAUUUAAAGUGGUACGCGAGCUGGGUUUAGAACGUCGUGAGACAGUUCGGUCCCUAUCUGCCGUGGGCGCUGGAGAACAUUUAAAGUGGUACGCGAGCUGGGUUUAGAACGUCGUGAGACAGUUCGGUCCCUAUCUGCCGUGGGCGCUGGAGAUGAGGGGGGCUGCUCCUAGUACGAGAGGACCGGAGUGGACGCAUCACUGGUGUUCGGGUUGUCAUGCCAAUGGCACUGCCCGGUAGCUAAAUGCGGAAGAGAUAAGUGCUGAAAGCAUCUAAGCACGAAACUUGCCCCGAGAUGAGUUCUCCCUGACUCCUUGAGAGUCCUGAAGGAACGUUGAAGACGACGACGUUGAUAGGCCGGGUGUGUAAGCGCAGCGAUGCGUUGAGCUAACCGGUACUAAUGAACCGUGAGGCUUAACCUU